GACGAACGCUGGCGGCGUGCUUAACACAUGCAAGUCGAACGGAAGGGCCCUGCUUUUGUGGGGUUCUCGAGUGGGGAACGGGUGAGUAACACGUGAGUAACCUGCCCCUGACUUUGGGAUAUCUCCAGGAAACUGGGGCUAAUACCGGAUAGGAGAUCCUGCUGCACGGUGGGGGUUGGAAAGUUUCGGCGGUUGGGGAUGGACUCGAGGCUUACCAGCUUGUUGGUGGGGUAGUGGAUUACCAAGGCUUUGACGGGUAGCCGGCCUGGGAGGGUGACCAGCGACAUUGGGACUGAGAUACGCACCAGACUCGUACAGGAGGCAGCAGUGCAGAAUAUUACACAAUGGGCGCAAGCCUGAUGCAGCAACGCCGGGUGCGGGAUGACGGCCUUCGGGUUGUAAACCGCUUUCGCCUGUGACGAAGCGUGAGUGACGGUAAUGGGUAAAGAAGCACCGGCUAACUACGUG
rnacentral:rRNA from 1 species